AAGACUGUACUUUCAGGGAUCAUUUCUAUAGUUUGUUACUAGAGAAGUUUCUCUGAACGUGUAGAGCACUAAAAUGCUA
rnacentral:snoRNA from 1 species